UCCACGACCAAAACAAUCCGCGCCCCCGCCGUCGCCACUCGACGCUGCGCCGCCGCCUGCCGGACCGGACGGCGUGAAGAACGCAGCCACACGCGCGCACGUUCGAGAGGGCACCAGCCGGCGACGCACGACAGGACAGGAGCAGCCAGCAUCUAGCAGGGAUUAUGGAAGGUCGCUGAGGGACAAGCCUUUGUAAGUCAGGAAUUCUAAAUUUCCAACGGGACCAGCAACAAAAAGGUUUCGAUGUGCCUGCCUGUAGGUACUGCGAUGGCGUCAGGUGACCUCGGAUUGAAGCCUUUCAAGGUUCACAGCUGAGCAAUGCAGAAAAAAGAUGACCCCUUAAUGAAUCAGGAAAAGAGUUUCUGCCUGCUGUUGCCUAAAUCUUCGGGUGGCUGGUAUCUUGACAUUGCUAAGGUUUUGUGCUUGCUCUGGCGUGGAGGCAAAUGGAUACCGCAUCUUCUUUUUCUGGUUUCUAUGUAGGUAUCUCUGAUGAUAAGGCCUUAUAGACAGAGAUUAGUCCAGGAAGAUUGAAUUUCCAAAUCCCAAGUAGGAUUCUUGUUUUGAUAUCUUGAAGAUCCAUUCAAGGUAAAUGAACUUGAUGCACAUAUUGAUCUAAAAAGGAUCGUGAAAAAGAUGGAUGAUGCCUAAGGAGCUGAGCUGAAGUUUUUUUUAAAAAAAAUAGGUUGAUUGCCUUCGUCUUGGAAACAAUGAUUUGAACUGCAUUGGCUACUGGAUUGUCGAGUCAGUUGCCAAGAAUAUGCUUAAAUAGGAUUGUCCACUUGCUGUUCCUUCAUCCACAAUACUUCCAUAAAAUGAUUUUGUUGAUUCAAAAUUGCAUGAGCUGCAGCUUGGUAUUUUCAACACCCCUCAGUGUCCAUUAGGCAAGCUCAAAGUUAAUUGUGGGUAUCACUGGGGAUGUGAUUUGUUUUGGUUUUUUGAUUUUCUGAGAACAUAUAUGGAUAUAGCUGUACAGACAAGAACAUAUGUGGAUAUAGUUGUACAGGCAGUAAA